UGGGGAAUAUUGGACAAUGGGCGAAAGCCUGAUCCAGCAAUGCCGCGUGAGUGAUGAAGGCCCUAGGGUUGUAAAGCUCUUUUACCCGGGAUGAUAAUGACAGUACCGGGAGAAUAAGCUCCGGCUAACUUCGUGCCAGCAGCCGCGGUAAU
rnacentral:rRNA from 1 species